AGUGGAUUACUGGGUCAAAUGGUGAUUGCAUUCCACAUUUUCUGAAGUAUCUCCAUACUGCUUUCCAGAGUGGUUGCACCAAUUUGCAGUCCCACCAGCAAU
rnacentral:pre_miRNA from 1 species